AAAAAAAAGAACGAGAGAAACGAAGAGGAGAGAGAAAGAGGAAAGAGAAAAAGUAAUAAGGGUAUUUUGGUCAGUUUGCUGAAAAAACGGAUCGAAUCUGCAAAAACGAAAAAGGUGACCCGAUUUUGCAAAAACCGAAAAUAAGUAGAUUUUUUAUGCAAAUUGGCCAUAAAAAAUUUUAGAUUUUAAAUAUUUAAUUUUAAAUUUAGAUUUGAAAUGUAAAAUUUUUAAACUUAAAUUUUUAAAUUUCUAAAUUUUUAAAUUCAAGUGAAAAAUUUGCUCCAUUGAGAGAGAGAGAUUAAAAUUUUACAUUUUAAAUUUCUAAAUUUUUAAUUCAAGUGUAAAAUUUGCUCCACUAAGGAGCCGUUUGGUUAGAUGUAGUUGCAGAAACAGUGUAGUUGGAAAUACAUGCAGUUGCAAAUGCUGCAGUUGUAACUGCAUCUAGUCUGUUUGGUUUUACGCAGUUGCAACUGCUGCAGUUAUAUUNUGUGUGUGUGUGUGUGUGUGUGUGUGUGUGUGUGUGUGUGUGUGUGUGUGUGUGUGUGUUU
rnacentral:lncRNA from 1 species